rnacentral:rRNA from 1 species
AUUGAACGCUGGCGGCAGGCCUAACACAUGCAAGUCGAGCGGUAGCACAGAGAGCUUGCUCUCGGGUGACGAGCGGCGGACGGGUGAGUAAUGUCUGGGAAACUGCCUGAUGGAGGGGGAUAACUACUGGAAACGGUAGCUAAUACCGCAUAACGUCGCAAGACCAAAGUGGGGGACCUUCGGGCCUCAUGCCAUAAGAUGUGCCCAUAUGGGAUUAGCUAGUAGGUGGGGUAACGGCUGACCUAGGCGACGAUCCCUAGCUGGUCUGAGAGGAUGACCCGCCACACUGGAACUGAGACACGGUCCAGACUCCUACGGGAGGCAGCAGUGGGGAAUAUUGCACAAUGGGCGCAAGCCUGAUGCAGCCAUGCCGCGUGUGUGAAGAAGGCCUUCGGGUUGUAAAGCACUUUCAGCGGGGAGGAAGGCGGUGAGGUUAAUAACCUCAUCGAUUGACGUUACCCGCAGAAGAAGCACCGGCUAACUCCGUGCCAGCCGCCGCGGUAA